rnacentral:RNase_P_RNA from 2 species
GGCAGAGGGAGUCCGACCACCGUGCCCCAGUCCGUGCCCGCAGGGCACGCAAGGGGCAUGAGGAAAGUCCCCCCACCGUCCGGGCAGGUGACCGGGCGCAAGCCCGGAGCGGGAGACCGCUGGCUCUGGAACAGAAACGAGACCCCUCCGCGCGAGCGAUGAGGCCUGCGAAUCCCGACCGUAAGGGAGGGAGAGUUAACCGGCCGAGCGUGUGGCUGCGAAGCAGCCACAUACUGUGCGAACGGCGCAGCCGUGAGCCGGGCGGCGACGCAGUCGCCGCCGAACGCGUGCGCGGGCCUCGCCCACGCACGCUGACCGCGGAGAACGGAUGGAACGGCGAACCCUCACCGGUGCAAGCCCGCGCCGUCAGGUAGCCCGGACACCGCCGGAUUCGGCGACCUGGCGCGGGCGCGCAGCCGAAUGUCGGACCGAACAGAAGGGGGCUUACUCCCCUCAGCC